rnacentral:tRNA from 1 species
GGAGAGGUGGCAGAGUGGUCGAAUGUACCUGACUCGAAAUCAGGCGUACGGUGAAACCGUACCGUGGGUUCGAAUCCCACCCUCUCCGCCA